UACGUAGGUGACAAGCGUUGUCCGGAUUUACUGGGCGUAAAGAGCGCGCAGGCGGUCGAUCAAGUCGAGUGUGAAAGCCCCCGGCGCAACUGGGGAGGGUCAUUCGAAACUGGUCGACUCGAAGGCAGGAGAGGGUAGUGGAAUUCCCGGUGUAGUGGUGAAAUGCGUAGAUAUCGGGAGGAACACCAGUGGCGAAGGCGGCAUCCUGGACCAACACUGACACUGAGGAGCGAAAGCCAGGGGAGCAAACGGG
rnacentral:rRNA from 1 species